rnacentral:rRNA from 1 species
AUGCCGCGUGUGUGAAGAAGGCCUUCGGGUUGUAAAGCACUUUUGUCAGGAACGAAACGGUGGGGGCUAAUACCUCCUGCUAAUGACGGUACCUGAAGAAUAAGCACCGGCUAACUACGUGCCAGCAGCCGCGGUAAUACGUAGGGUGCGAGCGUUAAUCGGAAUUACUGGGCGUAAAGCGUGCGCAGGCGGUUGUGCAAGACAGAUGUGAAAUCCCCGGGCUCAACCUGGGAAUGGCAUUUGUGACUGCACGGCUAGAGUGUGUCAGAGGGGGGUAGAAUUCCACGUGUAGCAGUGAAAUGCGUAGAUAUGUGGAGGAAUACCGAUGGCGAAGGCAGCCCCCUGGGAUAACACUGACGCUCAUGCACGAAAGCGUGGGGAGCAAACAGGAUUAGAUACCCUGGUAGUCCACGCCCUAAACGAUGUCAACUAGUUGUCGGGUCUUAAUUGACUUGGUAACGCAGCUAACGCGUGAAAGUUGACCGCCUGGGGAGUACGGUCGCAAGAUUAAAACUCAAAGGAAUUGACGGGGAUCCGCACAAGCGGUGGAUGAUGUGAUUCAUUCGAUGCAACG